rnacentral:tRNA from 1 species
ACUGGCCGUCGGUGCGGGCGUGGGCGGCGUCAUCGCCGCCGCAAAAUUGUCCCGGCACGCGCCAGCGCGCUGGUUCGGCGCCGCCUGGUCGGUG